rnacentral:lncRNA from 1 species
GCACUCGUUAGUAUUGUGAGAUGUGGCAUUAUGCUACUUGCAGUAUUUGAUCUUCUUAAGUUCUUCGGCCGAUGGAAUCAUGUGGUACGGUGAAAGCUUGAUUUGGCCCUCUUGCAGCAACAAGUCAAAGAUCUUAUUGACCUUGGAGAUAUCGAACCCGAAUUUUUCAGGCUCCUUCUUGCCGUACGGGCAUGAGAUCAGUUUUUUGGUCUUAA